rnacentral:lncRNA from 1 species
CUCUUGCUUUGUGUUCCUAUUAUCCACAGUGCUAUCAGUGAGCCAUGGCUAAACUUUUCUGUGAUGCUCUUAUCUUUGCAAAAGUGCAUCCCUUAUGGCCUUGGUAAGUGAUGUGUCCUUUGUACCUUCCCUCACAUGACUGCAACCUUCUGGCUGUGUGUAAUACACCAAUCCUAGUUUACCCACUUCCUGAGCCUUUUGGUUCCUUCUUGGCCCACCAGCCUGCCCUAGCACUUCCACUACGUUUCAUUCCAUUAAAGUCACUGCUUUUUCCAUGCUUCUAGGAGCCAUUCCAGUGAGCUUGUCAGCUAUUGGGGGUCCUUGCCAGGAUGUUAAGUCUUGUACUUCAGAAGAAUGCUCUCAAUGCAAUAUAAUUUUCCCUAUCCAGUUUUGUGUUCUCUUCACCCUUGAAGAAGUAUCCACUGAUCCAGUCCCAUGGACUCCCCAAGCUCCUGUUGGCACAUGCUGGUUAGGUCUUGAAUCUUCUUUGGGGAGUAGUCCCGUACACAUAUCACUGGGCAUAUCACUUUCCCAAUUAGGUUGUGCUAUAACUUAAUUGUAAAUACAGGCACUGGUGGGCAGAAGGGGAGAAGGGAGGUGCUGGGUGAAGGGAAAACAUAGUCUCGUAUGUAGGAAUUUCUGGCAGAUGUCCUCUAGUCUGACAAAAUGAUACCUCUAGUAGGGAAGAGUAAGCCACACUGUGGGAACCAAAGGAGCCUGAAGAAUCAAAAUUUUCUAGAGUUCCACACAUAUGACCUCUCUGUCUGUUGGCUUUGGCACAACAGACUGAUUUGGGCACUUCUAAAUUCAGCCACUAAAAAUUCUGGUCUUGGUGGUCUGCUUUCUUCCUUGCAGAUGAGAACUUCUUGGUGUGUAACCUUCAAAGAAGUGUUGUGGCUUCCACAUUUGACUAUUACUUACUUAUGAACUUCCAAGUGUUACUUUCUCUAUCCAAUGGCGUUCAGUUCUGUUACUUAUAGCUCCAACUUCCACUAUACAUCUCGAGUGCCUGAUAUGCUUUACACAUCUGUUAGUACAUUCACUUCCACCUGGUACAUUAUCCUACCUGGACCAUCACCUUGUGCUAGGAGCUGGCUAGGAUACACUUACCACCAACCAGGUAGUCCAUAAUUCAGCUCCCCUACCUGAUUGUAGUGCCUGUUUUCCCAACCAAUCCUGGUACCAAUUCUUGUAGGUAGGCUUCUUGGGGAGGACAAGAUGUGAAAGGGAGAGGAAGCAGGACUAGGAAGAGGUCAAAUUCCAGUACAGAUCCAAGUUUGGGACAGCUUGGCCAAAAGCUCUGGAGUGAAGACCGCCCAUCAGAGGUGAGGGAGGAGGGGGACAGCAAAUGGACAGCUGAGCCUUUACAUCCUGGCCUUGCUUUCUCUCCUACUGUAGGUUUCCUUGGGAACGGUACAACCUUCCGCACGGGUACUGUUCACAGCUGAAGCCAACUUUGCUGGAGCUGACCACUGGAAGUACUCCCUGUACCUUGGGAGUUCAACUUCUUGACAAGAGAUCUUGGGCAACGUAUUUCCUUACCUACCACAAAGGACAGAUAGGUAUCUAGCACAUUCUCUUUUUAAGGAGCCAAGAGUACUGACUCCAUUUGUCACCUUCUGGGAAAGUUUUGUUAAGCCUGGUUAGGGGGGAGCACAGCAGCAGAGAAUGCUAUGGUAUUUGUCCUCUAUCCAUUCUAUUGUGCCUUGAUAUCAUGACUCCCGAUUUUUAGUUGGUGUUUUAGUCACUUUUUAAUUGCUGAGACAAAUACCCAACAACCACAACAUAGAGAGCUUUAUUUUGACUCACAUUUCAGUCCAUAGUCAGCUGGGUCCAAGGCAGUACAGCACGGCAUAGGGAUGGCAGCCAGGAAGCAGAAAGGGAAGGGAGCAUACCGGUGGAAGAUUCCCCCCCAACCCCCAGAGACCCACGUCUUCCAACCCGACCCUGCCUCCUAUUAGCAAGAUAAAAGCCCUCUAAUCACUUUUCAAAAGCUUGCCUCUGAUCUCAGCACAUGAACCUCUGAGGGGACAGAUGUAAGAUAUAAGCUGUAACAGUUGACAAACGGCCAGCCAGAAUAAAGUUAACUAACCUUGACUGAUACUGUUUUAUACAGGAAGAACGAUGAGUACAAUGAGAUCUCAAGGAAAUGGAAAACUAUUCCAUCCUGAUAUUCCAUUCUGUUUGUACUAGGAUCUUUUCUUGGUACCGAGGAUCGAACUCAGGAACUUGCACUUUCGAGGAGGCAGGCACUGGAACCACUGAGCUAAAUCCCCGACCUGUUAGUACUAGGAAAGGAGACGCCAAUCUAUGGUACAAGAAGGCAAACUAGGAAGCACAAGCCUGUAUUUUCUCAUUCUCUCCUUUGUCCCUGAGGUUAUCUGCUGGCUCAAUUUGGUCCUUGGUCUCCUUGGGUAUCUGUUUGACGUGAAAUAGGGACCUCAAUCUUAAUAUGUCUAAGAAUAAUGAUAGCUCCUACCAAACUCAGAUCCCCACGAUACCUGGCUUUAACAAAGGCCACAAUCUAGUCGAUGAGAUUCAAAACAAGAACCACUGGUCCCUUUGUCUUUUCCUUACAUACCACACAGCCCGUCAGUCCGGGGAACCUGUCCUGUCCUACGAGGUCUCAACAUUUCGGCCGCUCACGCCACGCCUCAGCGACGGAAGCAGGUCCCAGCAGCCCUCCCGCGCUACAGCCUGCGGGUCCCACAGCCCAAGCCGCGGGAGGCGCAGCCUGAACCGGUGCCCCCGGCCCGGAUCCCCCGCCCAGGCCCGCCACUUCCCCCACGCGCGUCCAGCUGAUCCUGGCACGGGAGCCCCCUGCCUCCGGCGCCGGCUGUUCCCUCGUUCCCUCCCAGGCCACCCACCCGUCUCCUUCGGUCCGCUCAAAGUCGGCUCGGGUCUCUGCAGCUCAGGCGCCGAGCAUCCGCCUCGUGGGCCUCUCCUGCGGAUCCCUGCCGGCCCUUCCGUCGAAUCCUGGCCCUGAGCGGUGACUGCACUUCACUCACGAGGCAUCCCGGCACCGCAGCCCGGAGCCCGCCCUGGGAGGCCCAGGCCAGCUCGAGCUGCACGGCGAGACCCUGCCCCCUCGAACAAAAUCAAGCCAAAGCCUAGAACGCGGCACAGGUCGCCCCUGAAGGACACAGCGGACGCGGGCCGAGGGCAAGUGAGGGCAGGCGACGCGCUGGCCAGGGCGGCGGUGGAAAGUUCGUGGGGCCUGGCCUGGGAACCUUCAGUCGCCCCGGCAGCGCCGUCCUCACGCACGACCCGCGCCAGCUG